rnacentral:rRNA from 1 species
GAUGAACGCUGGCGGCGUGCCUAAUACAUGCAAGUCGAGCGAACAGAUGAGUAGCUUGCUCCUCUGACGUUAGCGGCGGACGGGUGAGUAACAAGUGGAUAACCUAUCUAUAAGACUGGGAUAACUUCGGGAAACCUGAGCUAAUACCGGAUAAUAUAUUUAACCGCAUGGUUCAAUAGUGAAAGAUGGUUUUGCUGUCACUUAUAGAUGGAUCCGCGCCGCAUUAGCUAGUUGGUAAGGUAACGGCUUACCAAGGCAACGAUGCGUAGCCGACCUGAGAGACGGAUCGGCCAUACUGGAACUUGGACACGGUCCAGACUCCUACGGGAGGCAGCAGUAGGGAAUGUUCCGCAAUGGUCGAAAGCCUGACGGAGCAACGCCGCGUGAGUGAUGAAGGUCUUCGGAUCGUAAAACUCUGUUAUUAGGGAAGAACAAAUGUGUAAGUAACUAUGCACGUCUUGACGGUACCUAAACAGAAAGCCACGGCUAACUACGUG